rnacentral:lncRNA from 1 species
GCAUAUCUAACUUCCCGAGUCUUCUUAAAUCCAACUUCUUCUCUUCCAGAUUCUUAAUUCUAUAGAAUACACCAUUGGCUUAAUCUUUGGCAUAUAAGUAGAGUUGUCAGAUAAGACACAGGUUGCUUAGUUAAAUAUGAAUUCCAGACAAACUGAGAAUACUUGUUUUUUAGUGUAGUAUAUCCCAUCCACUAUUGGAGAUAUACUAAAAAAGUGUUUGGUGUUUAUCUGAAAUUCAAUUUAACUGGGCAUCCUGUAUUUUUACUUGUGAAAUCCGGCCACCCCAUAUAUAAUAGAAAUUGUUUUUUUUCAAUAGAUUACUUUGUUCAAAUAGUAUCACACAGAGAUGCCCAGAACAUGAACAAAUUAAGACUAAAAAGACUGAGAUCCAGGAGGAGGAAGUGCCUGGAUUCUGCUGGGUCCAAACGAGAGUGACAGAGCUCAGAAAUGACUACAGCUUCUGGAAUGCAAGAUACUGGAAGUCUCAAGUCACUGCCAUACUACAGGACAGCAGAGCCCCAGAUGGAAGGAGUGUGGGUCCCUGAAUUAUUAUGUCGAGGAAAAUCACUCACUGUCCAGAAAGGAACCAUAUAUUACAUGGCUGACAUUGACAUUUUAAGGUUGGUUUGUUACAGCAGCUAUCCUUAUCCUAACGAAUACACUAUUUUUAUCUAUGAACUUGAUUUGUGGGUAUUUUUGCUUAGUGUGAAGGUUUAAGUCAGCUCAUAUAAUAAAACCUGUAAAACAAACCUGUUCAGCAAACAGACACUUAGUGCCAAUGUUAAAGUCUGUCGAAGAAUAAGGAUGAAGAAUUGCUGAUAAGUUCUCAAGCUUUCUUUGAGAUAGAGAAGGGCCGAACAGUGGGCUGGCACAGGCAGAAAUUACUAUGCACUGAGACCCUUAAGUAUCCACUUCUCUUUUGAAGGUGGCUGCCCAUCGCCACUAUCCAAGAGUGGGUCUCUCUCCUUUGUAGGGAUUUACAAAGAAUGUUCCAGCAAAGGACUUUAGUCAAGGUCAGUGCCUCCAGGCAGAGUGACUACAAGCCUUGCACCUAGACCAUGUC